UUUUCUUGGGCCGGUUAUCCAUUUUCGCUUAUCUCGGAUUGGUUUCCAACUCCGGUGUUCCAAGGCUGUGACAACGACGCCCAGUACGCACCAAGUACUUCAUUCAUUAAUCGACAAAAACUAAGGGGGUGAUAGGUAGACCGAAUACCGUGAUCCAAUGCACCAUCCUGCUCCACACCGUGCAUGUUAGCUUUGAUUGGUUUCUACACCCGCAUGGUCUCGUUCAGAUUUCAUCCUCCAUCCUAGACCGCAUGCUACGCAAGACUUGGUCUUCCUUUGCGAGCCAAGCUGAACUGAUACAAGAUCAUGGGCUCCACUUACAGCCACACAAAGCAGACCAUUGCACAACCAACCAAUCAACAACUCUGUCCAUCUUAGCUCAGACUAUGUGCAAACCAAUCAAACCUAUCUCUAUGCUUCUAUACUCC
rnacentral:lncRNA from 1 species